AACUGCUGCACAAGGAGUGUUCGAUUGGACUCCUUUUCACACAAUGAACAACCAGCUUAGAACUGAUGCGGGCAAGGGGAAUCCGACUGUUUAAUUGAAACAAAGUAUUGCGAUGCCCUGAAAGGAUGUUGACACAAUGUGAUUUCUGCCCAGUGCUCUGAAUGUCAAAGUGAGGAGAUUCAACUAAGCGCGGGUAAACGGCGGGAGUAACUAUGACUCUCUUAAGGUAGCCAAAUGCCUCGUCAUCCAAUUAGUGACGCGCAUGAAUGGAUUAAUGAGAUUCCUACUGUCCCAAUCUGCUGUCCAGCGAAACCACAGCCAAGGGAACGGGCUUGGGUGAGUCAGCGGGGAAAGAAGACCCUGUUGAGCUUGACUCUAAUCCGACUUUGUGAAAUGACUUAGGAGGAGUAGGAUAUGUGGGAGCUCAGGUGAUCUUGAAAUACCACUACUUUUAAUGUCACUUUACUUACUCUAUCCAACUGUGCCCUGCCUCACAGCAGGUUUUUGCUUUUAAGGUUGCUCUUUUGGCGUGUUGAUUUGCGUAAAAGACGUCGUCCGGUGGGGAGUUUGGCUGGGGCGGCACAUCUGUUAAAGGAUAACGCAGGUGUCCUAAGGUGAGCUCAAUGAUAACAGAAAUCUCAUGCGGAUCAAAAGGGGAAACGCUUGCUUGAUUUUGCUUUUCAGUGUGAAAAUAAACUGUGCAAACAUGGCCUAUUGAUCCUUUAG
rnacentral:rRNA from 1 species